rnacentral:rRNA from 1 species
GACGGAGGGUGCGAGCGUUGUUCGGAUUGACUGGGCGUAAAGGGCGUGUAGGCGGUUGGUCAAGUCUGAUGUGAAAGCCCGGGGCUCAGCUCCGGAAGUGCAUCGGAAACUAGCCAGCUGGAGCGCGAUAGAGGAGGGCGGAAUUCCUGGUGUAGCGGUGAAAUGCGUAGAUAUCAGGAGGAACACCGGCGGCGAAGGCGGCCCUCUGGAUCGUUGCUGACGCUGAGACGCGAAAGCGUGGGGAGCAAACAGG